AGACGUGCUCUGGAAACCGGAAUAAAAAGAAAGGAUUUCGGGGAGGAAGGAGUUGCAGUUGGCGAGUGUGGGGGCUGCUACACACUCGGCUGCGGGUUAAAGGAAAAUCAAUGUGACGGUUAAGCAAGACAUUUAUUGUACCCACAGCUUCACCACUCUGGUCUCUAUGACUCCCUGCGAAGGUUGCUGUCAUCCCACAGAGACACAGCUGAGCUGCCUCUCUAAAGGGCCUGUGUUCUACUCCUGAAUCUGGUUUCCCCUAAGCUUUUAUCUCACCCUGGUGACAGCUCAGAAACACAAAAACUCUGUGUUAAGAAAACUAAGAAGUCAUUCAUCUGCACAUUUCCCGAAAUCCCCCAGAAGCCCACAUAGACUGAAUGGUGUCCUUAUUGGAAACUCUCCACCUUAGCCAAGGUGCAAAGUCCUCCCAGUCCCCCAGGAGCUUCCCUUCUUUGAGCUGUACUCAAGUUUUCUGUAAAACCACUCAGUUCAACAAAUGAGUUUCUCAAUCUUAGUUUCUGCUUGUUGACUUUAAAGUUCAUCUAUAAUAAACACACUGAAGUCCUCUU